GACGAACGCUGGCGGCGUGCUUAACACAUGCAAGUCGAGCGGAAAGGCCACUUCGGUGGUACUCGAGCGGCGAACGGGUGAGUAACACGUGAGUAAUCUGCCCUUGGCUUUGGGAUAGCCACCGGAAACGGUGAUUAAUACCGGAUAUGACCACGUCUCGCAUGGGGUGUGGUGGAAAGUUUUUCGGCCAGGGAUGUGCUCGCGGCCUAUCAGCUUGAUGGUGAGGUAAUGGCUCACCAUGGCUUCGACGGGUAGCCGGCCUGAGAGGGUGACCGGUCACACUGGGACUGAGACACGGCCCAGACUCCUACGGGAGGCAGCAGUGGGGAAUAUUGGACAAUGGGCGGAAGCCUGAUCCAGCAACGCCGCGUGAGGGAUGACGGCCUUCGGGUUGUAAACCUCUUUCAGUAGGGACGAAGCGUGAGUGACGGUACCUACAGAAGAAGCACCGGCCAACUACGUGCCAGCCGCCGCUGUAAUAC
rnacentral:rRNA from 1 species